rnacentral:rRNA from 1 species
UACAGAGGGUGCGAGCGUUAAUCGGAAUUACUGGGCGUAAAGCGCGCGUAGGCGGCUUUGCAAGUCGAGUGUGAAAUCCCCAGGCUUAACCUGGGAACUGCAUUCGAGACUGCAUAGCUAGAGUAUGGGGAGAGGGAAGUGGAAUUUCAGGUGUAGCGGUGAAAUGCGUAGAUAUCGGAAGGAACAUCAGUGGCGAAGGCGGGUCUCUGGGCAAUUCCUGACGCUGAGGCGGCGAAAAGCGUGGGGAGCAACGGGG